UACGUAGGGUGCGAGCGUUGUCCGGAAUUAUUGGGCGUAAAGGGCUUGUAGGCGGUUUGUCGCGUCGGGAGUGAAAUCUUACAGCUUAACUGUGAACUUGCUUCCGAUACGGGCAGACUUGAGGCAUUCAGGGGAGAACGGAAUUCCUGGUGUAGCGGUGAAAUGCGCAGAUAUCAGGAGGAACACCGGUGGCGAAGGCGGGUCUCUGGGCCGAUACUGACGCUGAGGAGCGAAAGCGUGGGGAGCGAACAGG
rnacentral:rRNA from 1 species